CCAAGAUGGCGGCGGCGGCGGCGGCGGCGGCGGCGGCGGGACAGAUGACCCAAGGUGAAGCCACUCUUCUUGGUCACCCUCAGCCUGAAACCUAGGGAGGAUGCCCUGGACGCCCCAGCUAGGGUCUGACAUCAGGCCCCAUGCGGCUCACCCGCUGCUGGGCUGCCCUGGCAGCCGCCAUCAUCCUCAACCUCCUAGUCUUCUUCUAUGUGUCAUGGCUACAACACCAGCCCAGAAACUCCCGGGCCCGGGGUCCUCGCCGGACUUCUGCCAUUGGCCCCCGAGUCACCGUCCUGAUUCGGGAAUUUGAGGCUUUUGACAACGCAGUGCCAGAGCUAGUGGAUUCUUUUCUGCAGCA